rnacentral:rRNA from 1 species
GAUGAACGUUAGCGGCAGGCUUAAUACAUGCAAGUCGAGGGGCAGCGCAGUGUAGCAAUACAUGGGCGGCGACCGGCAAACGGGUGCGGAACACGUACAGAACCUUCCUUUAAGCGGGGGAUAGCCCAGAGAAAUUUGGAUUAAUACCCCAUAGUAUUGUUGAGUGGCAUCACUUGAUGAUUAAAGAGUUAUCACUUAAAGAUGGAUGUGCGGCUGAUUAGGUAGUUGGCGGGGUAAUGGCCCACCAAGCCUUCGAUCAGUAACUGGUGUGAGAGCACGACCAGUCACACGGGCACGGGGACACGGGCCCGACUCCUGCGGGAGGCAGCAGUAAGGAAUAUUGGGCAAUGGACGCAAGUCUGACCCAGCCAUGCCGCGUGGAGGAUGAAGGUCCUCUGGAUUGUAAACUUCUUUUAUUUGGGAAGAAACCCGGAUUUUCUAAUUCGGUUGACGGUACCAGAUGAAUAAGCACCGGCUAACUCCGUGCCAGCCGCCGCCGUAAAAC